UUUCCGACGCCCAACACCACCGUAGCCGCCGCUCAAUAACCAACAUAGUAUUGACAUGGUGAUCACCGUUAACUACAGGGCCAGUGCUCCCUUCGAUCUCGCUUCUUAAUAUCCGCUUGAGUUCAUCUGUCAUCAGAUCUAUCCCAAGAUGAUCUUGCAUGUGGUGGCACCGCUUGAAGCAUGAGUUGGCCAUUUUACUGAAAAAAGUUUUUCAAUUGUUAUUUGGAGUUGUGAGCAAGAUGUUUACGGUAUGUAGGCUAACCUUUUUAUAGCUGUAGAUGCACCGCCUUGAAGAUAUGAGAGAUACAUUGAAGAUAAAUGGUAAUUGCAGUGAAUCGAAGGAGUUAAGAAGGUAGUUAAUGGCAGUAGAUCAACUCAUCUUGUAACGGUUCAGAGGUGAAGAAACAGAGAUGAAACGACACCAAGACAUAUCGAUUCAGGAAUCGUCAUCACCAUUCG
rnacentral:lncRNA from 1 species